AGCUUAAAUGCUUUUCUUCUUUGCAAGCCAUUUGAAAACAGCAGUGAUUACCAUGAGAAAAGUGCAGCCUAUUUAAGAGAUGACCUCUCCCGACAGGAUGACAGUGAUCCCCCAAAAGAAUAUGAUCCUGGGCAAUUUGCAGGCCUGCUCCAUGGAUCCUCUCCAGCCUGUGAGUCCCCUGAAAAUCCAUUUCAUCUCUAUGGGAAAAGAGAACAAUGUGAAAAAGGACAAGAUGAAGUCAGUUUGGCAAACAGUCCUUUGCCUUUCAAGCAGUCUCCAAUAGAAAAUAACUCAGAACCUUUGGUAAAGAAAAUUAAACCCAAAGUGGUCAGUAGAACAAUUUUUCACAAAAAAAGCAACCAACUCGAAAACCAUACCAUUGUUGGCACAAGAUCAACCAGGAGUGGAUCUCGGAAUGGGGACCAGUGGGUUAUGAACACAGGGGGAUUUGUGGAGAGAGCCUGCACUCUGGGGAGAAUAAGGUCAUUGCCUAAAGCCUUGAUCGACAUGCAUUUAUCAAAAAAUGUCUCUAAAUCUGAUUCUGAUCUCAUUGCCUAUCCUUCCAAUGAGAAAACAUCA
rnacentral:sRNA from 1 species